rnacentral:lncRNA from 1 species
UUUUCGGAUAAAACUUAUCGUCAUAGCACCUUAUAGUAAGCAUUCUAAUAUAAAUUUGAUAUAAUUUAAAGACCAACUUGUCAACAUAAUCCUUUGCUGGCACCGGAGAGGAUAUCACUGGAGCUUUGCAUUAGCUGAAUGGCUACUGACACAAUGUUAGAUAUAACCGUUCAGCGAUUCGGUGAUAUGAUCCGGUGCUACCCGGUGGGCACGCAAAAUGCACAUCAAGUACAUAAAGGUUAGUUUUUCAAGUGGGCUUAUAAAUACAAGGUGUGAUCAGGCUAAUUUGCUCUCUUGGCACUCCCAACUGAUAACCACACAUACUAGAGCACUCAAGAAACAGUUUUUACUUACAUUUGCUUAAUUGAGAUUACAUUUAGGUGAGAUUGGUGUUGAUAUAGUGCACUUGCUUUGAGAGUUAGCAUCUAGUGGGACUAGUGAUCCUUUUCACUAUGAGAUUUUUGUUACCCUUAGUGUGGUUGUUGCCACCUAGACAACUUGAUGUAGCAGGACUCCUAAAGCACUCCUUUGAAGAUUGCGAGAGGAGGAUUUGUUAGAGACUGUUGUGCUCAUUCUUGCCAGAGAGGCAAAGAGUAACUCUAGUGGAUAUUGAGGCUUGUGGUCUACCUCGUGAUCGUCUGGCUCAUACACGAGUGCUCAUGUUGGGCAUGAUCUUAAGGGAUCAUUGAGCUUGUAGAGGAAAAGUAAUCUAUGCACACGUCUCAAUGGGGGCGUAGCUUAUCGACAAGUCAUUGAAUCCAGGGAAUAUAUCUUCAUCCCUUUUGUAUGGUUUGCUUACUCUACACAUGUGGUUUACUUUAUGCGUUUCAAUUCAAUAGAGUAGAGCUAUUAGUCAUGGUUCACUAUAGUUUGCUUAGUUGUGUAGUUGAACUUUGCUAGUGUUUUUGCUUAGUAUAUUAUUUCUACUUUGCGAGCUUAAGGUGUUAUCCUUGCUGCUAGAAUUGUGUGGGGCUCGUUGAUUAUCUUGUUAGACUAAGCCUGUCAUUGUUUUUAUUAGGGCCAUUUUAGUGUCUAACUUGUAUUGCCUAGCGUUGUGCUUUGCAAAAAAAGGUUAUUCACCCCUCCUCUAGCCAUCUAGAGAUACUUACACACAUCAUCCAAUACCUUGGCUUCACACUGUCCCACAACAGCUUAUCACCACCCUAGCCAUAGUCGGAUGGGUGGAAACCUUCCUCCAUUGUUCGAUGGCAGCCAUGUAGCCAUUCUGCUGGCCACCACCAGCAACCUAGCUGGCCGGUGAAUCACCCAUAACCGUUUACACCAUGAGUUGGGCCUAUCACAAUCAUCACUGAGAGAUCACUAAGCUCUCAACAAUCGCUACCAAGUCGUCUAGGUGAUGCUGAUUACCAAGGGUAACAAACACAAACUCUCAAACAAGCCUAAUGAGAAAGGUAGAUAUACACUUGCUACUCCAUAUACACGAACAAGGUCGAUCACCAGUUCAUGGACAUUAUAACUUAAUACUUGUCUGAACAGUUAUUCACCAAGUUUAGAUCCAAUCUUUGCGUCACUGGUCCUACAGCUUAGACUGCGGGCAGGUAUUACAUACGCAAAUGAUACUGUGCGGGCGUCCGCCCCGUCCGGACACCGCACACACGGACCUGCGGCCUAAUUAAACCAGAAUAGAUGCUACCAACGCCUUGUUAUUUCCGUCCAUCUCCACAUACACCACCG